UUUUCGUAGGUGAACCUGCGGAAGGAUCAUUAGUGAAGCAUCGGAAACCCCCCUCUGUGAAAGGAGGGACCAAGGGUCCGAUAUCCACUUUUUUUCACACACUUGUGCACUCGUCUUUUUUAUACAACCCUGUUGCAUUUAUAAAGCAGUUCAUAAUGUAAACUUUGAUAAAGAAAGAAAAACUUUCAGCAAUGGAUCUCUUGGCUCUCGCAUCGAUGAAGAACGCAGC
rnacentral:misc_RNA from 1 species